AUACGUAGGGGGCUAGCGUUAUCCGGAAUUACUGGGCGUAAAGGGUGCGUAGGCGGUCUUUCAAGCCAGAAGUGAAAGGCUACGGCUCAACCGUAGUAAGCUUUUGGAACUGUAGGACUUGAGUGCAGGAGAGGAGAGUAGAAUUCCUAGUGUAGCGGUGAAAUGCGUAGAUAUUAGGAGGAAUACCAGUAGCGAAGGCGGCUCUCUGGACUGUAACUGACGCUGAGGCACGAAAGCGUGGGGAGCAAACAGGAUUAGAAACCCCGGUAGUCC
rnacentral:rRNA from 1 species